AGAAACCCUGACUUCCAUCUCCUCAGCCACCUCAUCCAGGUCCUGGUCCCUGACCAGCUGGGAAACCAUAGUCUCUCCUCCGUGUCCGGGGUCUUCUCCCUGGUCGGACGCGCUCUCAACACCUUCCCAGACAAAGGAGACGGCGGAAAAAAAGCGAGAGCCUCUGCGUCACUUUUACGCUCCACCGUAACUCCGCCUCCUUUCUCCUCCUCGCCACCUUCACCCUCCCCCUCCUCCUCCUCCUCCUCCUCCUCUCCGGUGCACCUUGUUACUCUUCCGCUGCGGCGAGUCCGCCACAAACACGCCGAGCUCGGGACGAUGCGUGCCUCCCGCGGGGGUCGCGCUACACGGGCCACGCGGCGUGCGGAGCUGCGCUAGGAGGCGGCGGGCGAGGAGGCGAGGAAGGAGGCGAGGUAGGAGGAGGUGGAGAGGAUGCGUCCUUCUCGGCGGAUGUUUGUCAUCCUGACGGGCUUCUUCUCCCUGGCCACCGUUAGGGCUGACGCUGUACUGUCGCCUCCUCUCAAUGUGAGCGUCAAGGAGAUCGAGGUCAACUCGGCGGUGGUCACAUGGGACACCCUGGAAGGAGACCCCGUCAUCGGCUUCGCCAUCACCCAACAGAAGAAGGAGGUGCGUACGCGGAGGUUGAUCCAGGAAGUGAACACCACCUCUCGCUCCUGUGCUCUGUGGGGUCUGGACCAGGACACCCAGUACAUGGUCCAGGUGCAGAGUCUCAGCAUGGGGGGCAGCAGUCCGCCCAGUGAGCCGGUCCUCUUCAGAACCCCCAAAGAGUCCGAGAAGCUGGCGUCCAAGAAUCCAGACGAGGUCACGAUGGAGGAAGUGGGUCAGGCGGCGCAGCUGCGAGCCGGCGAGGGCAUCAUCAUCGCCGUGGUCCUGGUCAUGUGGGCAGGCGUGAUCGCGCUCUUCUGCCGCCAGUAUGACAUCAUCAAGGACAACGAGCCCAACAACAACAAAGACAAGGCCAAGAACUCCUCGGAGUGCAGUACUCCCGAGCACCCGCAGGGGGGGCUCCUCCGCAGCAACCUGUAGGACAGGUUGGAGAAGGUUAGCCUGUACGGAGCGGAGGUGUCGUGUGGAGGAUUUGGGGGCGGUGGCACUUUGUCAAUCCGUCUGCACGCUGGCAUCCAAGCGCGAGGAGACUCUUCAAUAAUGCAGACGGUGAAGUCAGCUGUUGGAUGGAAAGAAUCUGCUGAUGUUGUGAAGAAGAAGAAAAAGAAAACCUGUAUGAAGGUUUGCUCUGCAUCACAAACUGAAGACAAUCACCACGUCACCGUUUGAGGGUCAAGCUGCUGCAACACUGCCCCCUGCUGUUUGGAGACACAAUCCACUUUCUAGCACGAAAUACUUACAUUAGUCAAUGUAAUUGUGGGAUUUAAACAUGAGGUCAAGAUAAAGUAUUGGGUUGGCAGUUAAGUCUGUAUAAUGAGGCUGGAAUUAAUGACUAAAAUAGUCAUAUUUAAUCAUGUGAAUGCAGUGUAACAGAUAUUUGAUAAAGGUGUACCUUGUUUUUUUAACUCGUUUCCCCCCAAAAUGUGCUAAAAGUUAUGUUCAUUUUCCUAAUGAUGUUGACUUUAUU